UGAGGAAUAUUGCACAAUGGGCGCAACCCUGACGUAGCGACACCGCGUGAGCGAAGAAGCCUUUUGGGGUGUAAAGCUCUGUCAGCUGGAACGAACACAAUGACGGUACCAGCAGAGGAAGCAUCGGCUAACUACGUGCCAGCAGCCGCGGUAAGACGUAGGAUGCAAGCGUUGUCCGGAUUCAUUGGGCGUAAAGAGUUCGUAGGUGGUCUGUUAAGUUUGGUGUUAAAGAGCGGGGCCCAACCCCGAUCGUGCACUGAAUACUGGCAGACUUGAGUGCGGUAGAGGUAAGUGGAAUUCCAAGUGUAGCGGUGAAAUGCAUAGAUAUUUGGAAGAACACCGGUGGCGUAAGCGACUUACUGGGCCGUAACUGACACUGAGGAACGAAAGCCGGGGUAGCGAAUG
rnacentral:rRNA from 1 species